rnacentral:tRNA from 1 species
GGGGUUGUGGCUUAGUGAUAGAGCGCUCACCUAGCACGUCGAGGUGCUGGGUUCGAUCCUCAGCACCACA